AAUGCUUAGAGGAAAUGAUAACUAUGUAGGCAGAUCUGGAAUGGAGGCUCAGCAUCCCACUGUCUAUGCAGCUUAUCUAUAUACUCAGUGAUAUACAGUCUGUCUAAGGGGUCAUUUCCAGGUAGGAAGGCUGUUAGUCAAAUGAGAGACACAAAGUAAUAAUGGUGUUAUAAUAAACGCAAGGUAAUAUAUAAAUACAUGUGAUAAUAAAAUUAUCAAAAGGGUGAGAAAUGUUAGGGGAAAAUAUUUUUAAUUCUGUAUAUUUUUCUUAUGUGUUAUAAUGGGCUGACUAUAGCAGUUACAUUUACUUGUCAGUUCAGCUAUGUUUUACUGUGUGUGCAAAGUAAGCCUUUCAGUUAUAGGAACAACACCCAAAGUCUGUAUGGAUAAGAUAAGGAAAGACCACGAGGUGCUUACAUGUGAAGAUUCUCAGAAGCACUACACAUGGCCUAUAAAAGAAGACACUUUUUCUUUCUGAGGGGGCUUGCCACACUUGUAUUACUAUGUGAAAUGACCUGUUGUCAUUUUGUUGUAAUCCUGUUUAAUUGUACAAUUAUAACCUUUUAAAAUUUGGA